rnacentral:siRNA from 1 species
UGACAAGUGGCGCUCUAUUU